rnacentral:misc_RNA from 1 species
AAGUCGUAACAAGGUUUCCGUAGGUGAACCUGCGGAAGGAUCAUUAACAUUUUUACUCUUUUUUGGGUUUAGUUUGUGUUGUUUGUUUUUAUUAACAGAUGCACAUUCUACUCUCAUUUCACCCCAAAUGUGCAUUGUGUUGUGCUUUGUAACAAAAGCACUUCUUUUUUAUCUAUACUAAAUAAACCCCUUUUUAUUACUUCUAGACUGACUUUAAACCACUUGAUUCGUACACUUCAUACUGUACGAUGACCAAUCAUAAUACAACUCUUAGCAACGGAUAUCUAGGCUCUG